rnacentral:SRP_RNA from 1 species
GCCGGGUGUGGUGGCGGGCACCUGUAGUCCCAGCUACUUGGGAGGCUGAGGCAGGAGAAUCGCUUGAACCUGGGAGGUGGAGGUUGCAGUGAGCCGAGAUAGCGCCACUGCACUCCAGCCUAGGCAACAGAGCGAGACUCCGUCUCAA